rnacentral:misc_RNA from 1 species
GAUGAAGAACGUAGCGAAAUGCGAUAAGUAAUGUGAAUUGCAGAAUUCAGUGAAUCAUCGAAUCUUUGAACGCACAUUGCGCCCGCCGGUAUUCCGGCGGGCAUGCCUGUUCGAGCGUCAUUUCAACCAUCAAGCCCUGGGCUUGUGUUGGGGACCUGCGGCUGCCGCAGGCCCUGAAAUGCAGUGGCGGGCUCGCAAGACACACCGAGCGUAGUAGCUUACAACCUCGCUUUGGGAGUGCUGCGGGUGCUGGCCGUAAAGCGACCUUUUGCGUCUUUAGCACUAGGUUGACCUCGGAUCAGGUAGGAGGACCCGCUGAACUUAAGCAUAUUAAUAAGCGGAGGA